rnacentral:rRNA from 1 species
AUUGAACGCUGGCGGCAGGCCUAACACAUGCAAGUCGAGCGGAUGAAGGGAGCUUGCUCCUGGAUUCAGCGGCGGACGGGUGAGUAAUGCCUAGGAAUCUGCCUGGUAGUGGGGGAUAACGUCCGGAAACGGGCGCUAAUACCGCAUACGUCCUGAGGGAGAAAGUGGGGGAUCUUCGGACCUCACGCUAUCAGAUGAGCCUAGGUCGGAUUAGCUAGUUGGUGGGGUAAAGGCCUACCAAGGCGACGAUCCGUAACUGGUCUGAGAGGAUGAUCAGUCACACUGGAACUGAGACACGGUCCAGACUCCUACGGGAGGCAGCAGUGGGGAAUAUUGGACAAUGGGCGAAAGCCUGAUCCAGCCAUGCCGCGUGUGUGAAGAAGGUCUUCGGAUUGUAAAGCACCUUAAGUUGGGAGGAAGGGCAGUAAGUUAAUACCUUGCUGUUUCGACGUUACCAACAGAAUAAGCACCGGCUAACUUCGUG